CAGCAGCCGCGGUAAUACGAAGGGGGCUAGCGUUGCUCGGAAUUACUGGGCGUAAAGCGUGCGUAGGUGGUGGUUUAAGUCCGUUGUGAAAGCCCUGGCUCAACCUGGGAAUUGCAGUGGAUACUGGAUCACUAGAGUGUGGUAGAGGAUAGUGGAAUUUCCGGUGUAGCAGUGAAAUGCGUAGAGAUCGGAAGGAACAUCUGUGGCGAAGGCGACUAUCUGGGCCAACACUGACACUGAGGCACGGAAGCGUGGGGAGCAAACAGGAUUAGAUACCCCCGUAGUCCCUGUCUCUUAUACA
rnacentral:rRNA from 1 species